UGGGACAACUCUGGAGAGACCGGUUCGAAUCCGGCGCCGAAGGUGCACGAAGCGCGACCCUCCCCCGUUGCAAUUGCAACGCGCUUCAAACUCUCAGGCAAAAGGACAGAGGGGCGCCU
rnacentral:ncRNA from 2 species